CGUCACAGAAUGUCGCUAUAUCGCCGUGGAUAUGGUUUCAUGGGCAGCUUUUGCGGUCUGACGGUUCUCAGGGUUCGCUGUGCACUUUGAUACAGUGUACUGUGAAGAUCACAGGAUCCACUCAAGUGGUGUGGUUUUCCAGCAACAACCCUGAAAUGGCGGCGCUUCCAUACCACCUCUCUCUCAUCAUAGACUGUGCCAGGACUGAACCAGGUCAAUGUGGAGGUGCAUACUCUUGGAAUUACCAUAUCUCUAGUUCUUGAGAUUAACAGGAUAUCCAUACGUUGGUAUUGGCAUCCAUGUAAGAAAUAUCGUUUACCUAACUUAAUCAUGAGACAAUUUUUUUUUUUUGUAUCUAUUAAAAAGGGGGUAAAUUAUGCCAUUUCUAACCUGUUGUAAGAUCAGUGUGAUUUUGAGAACCAUCAAAGGAGCUUACCAUCUCUGCUGCAAAUUAUGAAACUUCACAGGAACUUCAGAAAUCUGCCAUUUAAGCUCAAACGGUACAUUUACUCUCUGCCUCAUACCGUGAAGACUCGCCAAUUUCUGUUUUAUUCUCAGAACAUUUGAUCCUCUCCACACUCUCUCUGUAGGUGUAAUUGUUCCACUUCAGUGUGGAAAAGCUGAGGUGACAUUUUCUGCUUGUUAAGAGCUUUUUUUAUUUUUCCCCUCCUUUCUUUCUCGGUGCUUGUUGCUCGACUAGCAUCUUUCUGAGGGAGGCGGAAUAAGCAAGUCUGCCCUCCACCUUAAUUAGUCAGCUCAAGACUCCCCGCAGUGAGCAGCACCACCAGUAACCCCAGUGGACCGUGGUGCCGCUCUGAGGAUGCUCUCAAUAGGGCUUGAUAAAUGCGUUUCCAGGGGCUGGCAGCGCCAUCAUUAGACACGCAGAAGAGUGCUUCGGUGGACAUCUGUGUCUUCCUCACAGUCCUCGUCAUUGGACUGCACAGCAGGGUGGCAUCUGCCCAUUGGUACAUCUUUGCCCGCCCGCCAGCCCGCCCACCCACUUCCUCAAGGAGUGUGGUUUGGACAUUGGAUGUGUCAGAAGUUACAUUCCUUGUCCAGAAAUGCGAAACUAUUUUAAUCACUGAAAAUGUGCACAUUGAUGCUACCAUUCUUUUAAACAUUCUCCAAAAGAGGCCAGUGACGACUACUAGCUGUGCUAAUAAUCGCCCGC
ensembl:lncRNA